ACUAUAGCUCAGUUGGUAGAGCGAUGGAUUCGUAACCCAUAGGCCAGCAGUUCAAUUCUGCUUAG
rnacentral:tRNA from 1 species